AGGGCACAGCCACAGCCCCAGUGUCAUGGCAACACAUGGGCCAGGCUCAGGUCUGGCACAUGGCAAUCAGCCGAUGAUGGCAGGGAGGCUUUGCUUCCUGUCCCAGGCAGAGGGGAAGGCACGGCCUGUGAGUAAUGCAAGUUUGAGAGUUGAGCCAGUUCAGAGCAAGGCUGGGAGGACCCGUGGGCACAGUCAGUCUCCAGAGAUAAGCAAGGGCUGGCUCCCUCAAAUUGUCUCCAGUGUAGCCACACAUGCCACCAGUGUGGGAGGGAGCCCCUGAUAACUUUCUGCUGGGUAGCAGAAUUGUUGAUGAAGGGCCCAGAGCCAAUGGGGAAGAGGCCUCCCCCACAACCCUGGGCCUCCUGCCCACUAAAGCCACUUAAAACUCCAGACCGUGCCCUCAAGCUUUCCAGUCUCCAUGUCUCAGGAAAGUCCAAGACAGCAGGGAGGAAGUGGGCACAUGACUGGGUUUUCUCAUUGCCUCCAAACAAUCCCAUGUGCUGGACCAUAUUUUCUGCUCUUCUAGAAGCUUCUGUGUCCCAGGUCAGGUGCAAAUGACCUCCCAACAAAAUAGCCCGUCUGAGUUCUGCAGAGGCUGAGAGCCAACUCAAGAGCAUGGAGUUUCCAAAGCCAGAAGGGACCUUGGGUAAACAAGAAAGCUCGAGGCCUGAGGAAGUUAAAGGGAUUUGCUCCAAAUUACCCAGCCGAAAGGGGGCACAGCAUGGAUCCACAAACUUGAUGGUGCUUUACUCACUACGCUAUAAAAGGAGAGUCCAAACAUGGUGAAGAUGGAUGGCAGAUUGGCAGCCAGUGCUCCCUCCAUGGCAGUACUGUCCCCGCCCUCUUCCUGUAUUAACUAAAACCCACACAUGAUGCUGGCAUUUGAUAAUCUCUUAUCUCCAACCAAUGUUAAUUUUACAACCUGGCAUGCUUUAGAUGGUAGAGUAAUAAAGCAGAAUUUAUGCAUCCAAA